rnacentral:rRNA from 1 species
AGUGAACGCUGGCGGUAGGCCUAACACAUGCAAGUCGAACGGCAUCCCCUGAGAGCUUGCUCUCUGGGUGGCGAGUGGCGGACGGGUGAGGAAUACAUCGGAAUCUACUUUUUCGUGGGGGAUAACGUAGGGAAACUUACGCUAAUACCGCAUACGACCUACGGGUGAAAGCAGGGGACCUUCGGGCCUUGCGCGAUUGAAUGAGCCGAUGUCGGAUUAGCUAGUUGGCGGGGUAAAGGCCCACCAAGGCGACGAUCCGUAGCUGGUCUGAGAGGAUGAGCAGCCACACUGGAACUGAGACACGGUCCAGACUCCUACGGGAGGCAGCAGUGGGGAAUAUUGGACAAUGGGCGCAAGCCUGAUCCAGCCAUACCGCGUGGGUGAAGAAGGCCUUCGGGUUGUAAAGCCCUUUUGUUGGGAAAGAAAUCCAGCUGGCUAAUACCCGGUUGGGAUGACGGUACCCAAAGAAUAAGCACCGGCUAACUUCGUGCCAGCAGCCGCCGUAA